rnacentral:lncRNA from 1 species
CUCCAGCACGCAGGCUUCUGGCAGAGCAUCAGGCUGGGUGCUUCCUUCUCCUAAAAAGGCCAUAGCACACAUCCCCGGGCCAAGUUAAUUUUCUGGAUGGGAAGGAGCGACUAACAGCUGCCUUCUCUGACCAAGUCAAAAACCUCCUUGUGAUGGGGACUGGCUGAGUGGAGGCUUUCCCAUGUUCUGAGACAGAUGGAAAGCCAGGGGUGAGGUUCAGGAAGUAGAAAGAGAGAAGAGACUCCUAAGGACCCAUCUGCAGGAUCCUACUUUCUCCAGGUGCAGGAUUGGGAGGGGCCCCCAGCUGUUUCUGAUCACAAAUCCUUCGGUUUGGGAGAUGGCAACAGAUGAAUGGGCUGUGGAGGAUGGACGUGAGAAGAUGCCCCACUUGCAAAGCAAUUGCUGGGGCUUCACUGAGACAGAGGAGUGGAAUUUUAUCUCUGCCAAAUCCCCCAAGCUUAGAGAGAAGACUUCAUUCUCUUUGCAGAAUUUAUUUUGCUAAGCCCUGGCCUUC